rnacentral:lncRNA from 1 species
CACACACACACACACACACACACACACACACACACACACACGCAGUGUGAAAGAUGCGAGCCAUAGCAUCUCGUAACAUGAAGGCCAUCCAGCUCCAUCCUCCCACUGCUGCUUGAACAAUAUGCUUAACACGUAGUGCCGCAGUCGCUGCUUGGAUUGAAUGUGUUCAUGCACAGAUUUUAUCAUCUUGUUACUCAAACGACUGAUGGCUUCUGACCCUGCCUGAAAAUUUCCUAAGAGGUAACAGUUCUAGGACACAGAUGCUGGAGGGAGUGGAGGAAGAAGUUUAAUUACCACAUACAGCUCUUCCAUAUGCAAGGUCUCUGGGGCAAAACUGUCAUUCUGUCUGAAGCCAGACCCUCAAUGUCAGACUAAGAGAGUCGGAUGGAGACUACAUCUUCUGUGUGUGUUGCAAUGGGAGGACUUCUCUCCACCGAGUUUAGUGAGGGAGAGCACCAAGGCUUAUCUGAUAGUAUACCAGGCUAUGUGUAGGCUUGCAUCAUGAACUUUUGCUUCAGAACGACUGCUGGAAUACAUUAGGAAAACCAAGAGAACCCACAGUCCCUCUGAAGGAAGUGGUUUGCUCCUGCAGGACCCAGGAGACACCCCAAAUACUGUGAGUGCCCAAACUGGAAUUGGGAAAGGGAGAUCAUCCACCCCUGAACACACUCCCCCACUGGGAAACCUGAAGGUCUAGAUUAGAGGAGAAUAUUUUGACCUUACCUGGAGCUUAGUCAAUUUAGAGAGCGGACUGAAAUACAGGGGUAGAGAAAGCAGCAGGGAAAGCCCUGUUGACUUACUGGGUUCCUUAGCAAGCCAUUUCUGCUUUGCCUCACAGGGGUUCUUGAAGAGGACUGCCAGAAGCACUGGGGAAAGGCCACAAGGAAAAGGAAACCUCCAGCCGAGCCCUUUGGGUUGAGUGGAAGCUGGGUGAGGCCUGUGACUGCUAGCUUUCCCCCACUUCCCUGACAGCCUGU